AUGCAGGGGCAGCGCUCGAUGGGACGCAGCCAGGAGGAGGACGACGCCUGGACAGAAUGGAUCGUCCAUGGGGGAGGAGGCUCACUGUCCGUGGGGGAGUAUGCCUGUUGGCCGUGUGGAAGAAGGUCCGCCGACAUGGGAGAGGAGGCACGAUGUCCAUGGGAAAGGAACACCGGCGGUGGGGGAGGAGGCGCGCCGCUGUUGAGGGAGGAGGCCCGCCGGCCGGGAGGGAGGAAGGGAGAAGGUUGGCCGGCCGGGAGGGGGUGGGUGGGGCCGGGGAAGGUGGGCCAGUGCCAUGGGCAAGGAGGCACGCGGCGGCACGGGGGCGGCGAGAAGCAGGAGGCGGCGGGAGGCGAUCUGGGGAGGGAGAGAGGCGCGCCGGGGCCGGGGAGACGGCGGCGAGAGGCGCUGGAUCCAGGGGAAGGAGGCGCUGUCGCGGUGGAUCACAGGGGAUCGCGGGAGAGGCCCGAUGGGAUGUUUGCAAACUCCCAAAAACAAAAAAACGAUCGGCCCAUGCCCAACCCCCACCCCACCUCCCGCACUGUCGGAUCCCUCGACCACCUCCCGCCGCGACCCCCGACCCCGACGCACCUCCUGCCGCCGGCCACCCGACCCCAACACCCACCCGCUGCUGGCCACCGGAGCCGCCACCCCCACUCACUAGCUCUGCCGCCUCCUCCUUCCCGCGUGCGGCCUCCCCCUCCCGGCUCGCCGCCGCCCCCGCAUUGUCCCGGGUCGCCGCGAAGGUUUCCAAUCCCCUCCACCCGCCGCAGCUUCCGACGAUGCCCACGCCGCCACUCCUCGAUCACCGACGGCGGACGCAUCCAUUCUCCUCGGCCGCCGCGACCUUCUUCCUCUGCCGCUGCGACCUUCCUCCUCUCCCAUCGUGGCCUUCUUCCCUCCAGUGCCUCCCUAGAUCGGCGACUCGAUGCAUGUUCCCCCACCUGUGGCCCUCCCCUGUGCUCACUUUCUUCCCUCCGCCGCCUGCAUGAGAGCCGCCCAUGCCACCCUGCACUGCCACCUUCCUCGUCUCGGCCGGCCUCCCGGCUCCGCUGUGCGGAACAGAGCCGCCGCACACCACCUAGUCAUCACUACCGCCUCUCUUCCUCCAUGCUACCGCCGACCCUCUUCCUCCAUACUACUGCUGCCCCUCUUCCUCCAUGCUACUGCCGCCUUCGACUCUGCCCCCACGCCCUAGGGUGUCCGCGUCGAGCUGCCCUCUCUUCUACUAGCAGUGCACACAAGCUGUUUCAAGUUCAAAAUUUUGGAGAACCUUUCUUUAUGGUUAUUCGUGAGGAUGAGACCUUAUCUUCUAUUAAAGAAUGUUUACAGAAAAAGCUAAAGGUCUCAGAUGAGGAUUUCUCCAAGUGGAAAUUUGCGUACAUAUCCCUUGGUUGCCCAGACUAUUUUGAAGAUUCUGACACUGUAGCCACGAGAUUUCAGAUAAACAUGUAUGGAGCUUGGGAGCAGUAUCUUGGACUGGAGCACCCGGAACAGCGCCAAGAAAGGCACAUAGUGCUAACCAGGGGGGCACAAAAAAACCUGUGGCUGACAAAUAGUCGAUUGAAGAGUGUUUUCCUUGAGAGUGGAACCUCAGAGGAAUUCUCGCUUCUUCUUCCACAGCUCGAGAGAUCAAAGGCCAUUGUCGACAAAGCUAAGCUCAAGAGUGCAACUUCAGUCGAAGAUAUGCAUUAG
rnacentral:rRNA from 1 species